UGGGGCUCAGCCGGCUGCAGAGCGAGCCAGGCGGUGGGCGAGCCAGGCGGUGGGCCCCGCGGUCAGCGCCCGGGGAAGGCUGCCCCGGGGCUCCUUCCGGACGCAGAGGCCCUGUCAGAGGAGUUCAUAAGUUCCCCGCAGCUGUCGCUUCUCAGACGCAGGGGCUAACUUUGGAGCAGGGUUGAACUCCCGGCUGAGGGCGGCGCCAAACCUCCUUCGGAGCCGGCCGCGGCGGCGCGGGGCAGGAACGGGGACCAGAGACCCUCAGGAGGAGAGAGCUGACCUACUUGAGGAGCAGGAAACUGGCACUCCUCAGCCUGAGGCUUAUUUUAAUCUUCAGAGCCCUGUGAACCAGGAUGCACCAGAGGAUGACUCACAUAUUUGGUUUCUGCUACCCCUAAGCGAGGUCUGGAUUCAGUUCUGGGCUCCUGCCUUUGGCUUGGUCCUGCCCUGGCUGUUGUGGGCAUUAGGUAAGUGAACUAGUGGAUAGCAGAUCUCUCUCUGUCUUCCCCACUGUGUGUAUAUGUCUGCCCUUCUGCUUCUCAAUAACAAGGUUUAGACUCAGAAGAGAUUUUUCCGGCACAGGAGACCUGGCAGGAGAAAAAGUUAAGGAGGUGGGAGACAGGGGAUGGAGGCAGGGCUCAGGCCUGGCGCCAAGUGCCUUCUGUAGCCCACAGUUCCUCCCAAGGCCUCGGCACCUCAGCCAAGCUGCUGCAGCCCCUGACAUGACGAUAUAAUCACUGUGCUUCUCUCGCCUAGCGUUCUAACCCUUGUCUGAAAUCCACUCACCCUUUUCCCCUGUAGAAUCCCGAAGACAUGGACCCUGUCUCCCAUCCCUGCCCUAUCCUGUGCUCCAGGCAGUAGGCCCUGGCCCUGUAUAUUUUCUAGAAAGGCACACACCCACACUGUCCAUGGCAC